UUUUAGGCUUUCCUGGCAUCCCUAGUGGGUAACCAUGCUGAGAAUAUUUAGUCUUCCAACAUCGUUCUAUACAUUAACUUCCAACCAGCAGGAUGAGUAAUGGAAGAAAGAAAUCCAAAGACCAUCUGAGAAGACAGGAAGAAAGAUGAUGCACACAAGAGUUGGACAGUGAUGUGCCUCCUUCUACCCAAUUCAAGAUUGAGAUGAACAGUCAGAAAAGUGCAUCAAUCACCAAUGUACAGUGUCGUAAGAUUUCACAAACUCAACACACCUGACCUCAGCACAUAGACCAAGAACUUGGAGUAGACCCACUCUCACUUUGCAGUGACAAAAGACCCACUGUAAACAGCAUAAAGGAAAAGUACUUUUGCUAUUCUGUAUCAAGGGGUUCUGUCGUGGUCGCCUGCCCACCUACACUUCAGGAGUCUAACAGCAGAAGUGUGUGACAGUGGACUUGCUUCCCCUCAUAGCACAGAGUGAGGAAGGGACUGGGGACCUGCUGUAACCUCCAAAGGCCUGUCACCAGUGAUCUGCUUCUUCUUCUAGCUGGGCCUCAGCACCUAAAGUUUCCAGAGCAUCUGACAAUUAGCACUACCAGCUGUGGACCAAGCAGUCCUAACAGAGGCCUUCGGGGGACACUUCAGAUUCCAUUGGUCCCUGAACUGCAUGGCUAGAAAAUUACAUGCCGUGCACAUCUGCAGCGAGGAACACGAGGCAUUCUAGGGGAGAUUUAUUGCCUCCCUUCCCUCCUCCUUUUGGAAGGUUUCUGGAUGCCGUUCUCUGUGUAUAGCAUGUGCCUCCGGCUUAUCACUACGGAAGCCGCUCCUUUUGCCUCCAAAGCAGAAAACACGUACACAGAGAGAAGUACAGAGCAUUCAGCCUCUGCUGCAGGUCCACUCACCUUCUUGGCACAAGGGAGGCCAGGACAGGUGUGGGAAUUCCGAGCAGGGCCUCACCUGUGUUUCUGUCUCCGUGUCCACACAUGCUGAGCUUGUGCAAAGCAGUUGCCCUAAGUGGGGAAGGUGAGCAGUCUUCAAGAAGUGCAUCUUUGUUGUUUGCUGCCAUUGGCUCUUCCGGUCAGAGACGUUUUAUAAAGGCACAACAGACUGAUUGCUUGCUUGCUGUUAUUCACUGGCACGUUUUCCGCUUCUCUGC